AGCGAACGCUGGCGGCAGGCUUAACACAUGCGAGUCGAGCGGGCACUUCGGUGUCAGCGGCAGACGGGUGAGUAACACGUGGGAACGUACCCUUUGGUUCGGAAUAACGCUGGGAAACUAGCGCUAAUACCGGAUACGCCCUUCUGGGGAAAGGCUUGCUGCCGAAGGAUCGGCCCGCGUCUGAUUAGCUAGUUGGUGGGGUAAUGGCCUACCAAGGCGACGAUCAGUAGCUGGUCUGAGAGGAUGAUCAGCCACACUGGGACUGAGACACGGCCCAGACUCCUACGGGAGGCAGCAGUGGGGAAUAUUGGACAAUGGGCGCAAGCCUGAUCCAGCCAUGCCGCGUGAGUGAUGAAGGCCUUAGGGUUGUAAAGCUCUUUUGUCCGGGACGAUAAUGACGGUACCGGAAGAAUAAGCCCCGGCUAACUUCGUG
rnacentral:rRNA from 1 species